GUCAGUGUGUGUGUUCAUUCGGACUCUCCAGGCGCCUGAACUCUGCGGUAAACCACACUUUCUAAGCACAGAACUAAAAGUUAAUAGAAGUUAAUGGUAAAACAGGCUGGAAGGCAUGACGGACGAUUUUACAGGCGUAAUCUGAAGUUCCUGAGAUACAUGGAAAUCUAACAAUUUGGUGUCGGAAGUGCGACCAGUGUUCAGCCACUGUUUGCAUUUAUGCAAGGGGACGCCAGCUGACCUGGACACACCUGACAAAGGGCUACAUUGGCCCCGUGUUUUCUCGUGGUGUGGUGAGACUCUUUGCAAGAUCUCCAUGACAAUGCCUGUGUGCUGCGAUACGGGACGAUCUUCUGAUACCUUCUGAGUCAGAAGCUUGCUGCUGAACUGCAACCUUGAGACUGCUAGAACAUCUGGCUCACAAUGGAUUCAAGGUUUCACGUACAAAAUUGCACCUAGGUAAAACAGAAGUCAAAUGUUUGGGUUUUCUCUUAUCAAAAGGACAGAGAAGGCUGUCGGAUGGCCGGAUGUCAGUUGUGAUGACUUCUCAGCUGCCUGCUACAAAACAGCUCAGGGCCAUCGUUGAACAUUCGAUCCACUUUUGACUCCUGGGACCCAUACUCCAGUGACACACACACCUGAGACUGUUUCUGCAUUUAAACAUUUAAAAACUUCUUUUCCUCUCCAGCCCUGGGUCUGCCCGACUACACGAAACCUUUACCACCUGCCCCCUCAUGAACACUCUGGGGGUGGCACAGGAACAUGCUGGACUACCCGGCUGUCUGCGGGCAGUGGCUGGGCAGUGGCAGGGAGUGCUGCUCUUUUGGUAGCAGAUGCCGAACUUGUCACACCCUUUGGUAUUGCACACAGCCCACCAGGUGAAACGGUAUUAUCCAACAUUGAAACACAACACAUGACGGCUCAGCGCAGAAGUGGUUAUGAAACUAUUCUCUGUGCUACCACAAAUUUGACCAUUAAAUGCUCCACUGCUCUUGACACAAUUGCUCAUGCUCUGCACUGUCUGCUAAAUUCACAGAAUGACACCAUUCCUUUACCAGAAAAUCAUGAUUGUUUAAAAUAAAUUGUUUCUUCAUGUAGCAUUCGAUCUGAUCUGUCUGAUACUCUUUUGUUUAACAGUAGGUAUGUUUUUGUAGACGGAUCGUGUUCUAAGCCCGUGGAUGGAGUUUUCCUGUGUGGGUAUGCAGUUUGUACUCUACCAGAUGUGACUCGUGCUAUGCCUUCUGUGUAGCUCAAGAUUUUGGAAGGAUUUGGCAACAGCGAGGUUUUAAAUCCACGGAUGGUAAGCCAAUCUCACACUCCACUCUAGUUGACAAUCUAAUCUCUUCCUGUGCUAACCAACAGCUCUUGCAAUUGUCAAAACAAAGGUGCAUCUAACUGGCAACACUGUAGAGAUACGUGGGAACGCGCUAGCUGAUAGACAUGCAAAACUGGCGGCUAGGUCACAAUCACCUUGUCCUUUUUUAAUGUCUAACGUUGUUCAUUUUUAUACUAGUGCUUUGUUGCCGGGGGUGGAUUUUGCCCUUAUGCAAUCACAUGCAACCCCUAAGGAUUCUGAUUACUGGCAAGCACAAGGAGCCUGUCCAGAUCACCAUGGCAUCUGGUUUGAUAAAGUUGCCCAUUCGGGAACGUACCUGUACCCCUGAUGAGGUCUGAGCAUCGGUGAACAUGUCUACAACGGUAGGAAGUCCUGUCCUACUGGCUGACCUGAUUCACAUUUUACACAUAUACAUAUAGUUUUUCCUGUAUUAGCUCUCAUCACAAAACCAUUAACAUGUUUUUACGUUAUUAUUUUUUUCUGUUCCUGUUACUGUGUAUAUUUAUACCCCCAACAUAUCCUCAUGGGGUUGAUCCUCCUAGCGAAGGUGGAUGGGAUGAAUCCGAUGAUUCUCAUUUUUCAAAUUCUGACAGUCCUACAGCUGAGUCCGAUGUAUCUAAUGAUUUACAUAUUGAACAUUUUAAUCAAAAUGCUUACUAUAAAUAUUCAGUUCUUACUGUGAAGCAAAUGCACCUCACUACACCCUGUUUUAUCUGCGCUCUCAUGCCGCAUAGCACCCUCCAUCCUUUCACCUUUUAUCCGGGGCGAGAAACAUAUCAACAUCUGUGGUGCUCUGUAGCCGUCGGUCUUAGACGACACCGGUACGACAAUAUUGAUCCAUGGCGUCACUAUGUUAUUACGCCUUUUAAUGUCACCGCCAGUAAAAAUAAACCCUUAGUAGGCAUUGAUAAACCAGGUGCUACUCCAUAUUGUAAAGAUCUCCCCUAUGAUCUUGCUGACCGUGAAACUAAUUGGCCUACUAAUUGUCUGGACCCCCUGUACUCCUGUCAAGAGAAAGGGUCUUUUAAAACGCCUCAGAUACCGCUAACCUUUCAUCCAUCUGUCUGGUUACCUAAAGGUAAUAAAUUCGCAGUAUUUUUUUAUCGUGAAGUAUCAGAUAAAGUACCUGUAGCCCCUUAAACUAUAGGAAAGGAUGGCAUGACAUCUAUGUAUAUGGGUGCUCUUUCUCCUUAUCAUUGUGAGGAACUCGUCACACCCCCUAAAUUGAUUAACCCUAGCGAAAAGAUUAACAGAAUUGGUGGAUGGUAUACUGAUAAAUGGACUUGUAAAGGACUGCCCGAUACUUGUUCAUUGGGCUUUCCGGUGUUUGGAGCAACACCGUAGAGGACCAUUACUGGGUUUGUGCGUUUAGGGCAUACGCUUCUCUCCCCCAUGGCUGGUAUGGUCUCUGCACCUUUGCUCGACUCACUGAUGGAAUGUACGUUGUGACAACUGAGGACGUGGUUCAUCAUGUUCCUACUAGAACAGUAAGGGCCACUGUUAGUGUCCAGUCCAAAUAUGCCCCGUCUCUUCCUAAGAGCCGACGUUCAAAGAGGGCUUUAUAUACUGCUUUCGAUCUUUCUGAAGUCCCGAAUGAACAUAAAGUGUCAACAAAGGCCAAACGAUUUUGGGCCUCUAUUUUUCCUAGAUUUGGAAUGACGGAGAUGCGGAAUUUCGCAGAAGUAACUCACUACCGUCUCUCCGUGUUUGUAAAUGCUACAACUGAAGCCAUUGACUCUAUUAACGAUGAGCUGACCGCACUUAGAUUAAUGAGUACCAAAAACAGACUCGCUUUGGAUCUGAUGCUAGCUAAAGAAGGAGGAGUGUGUGCUAUGGUUGGUGAACAUUGUUGUAUAUAUGUACCCACUAAUGAUGCUCCCAGUGGUAACAUUUUGCAUGCUUUAGAAAAGAUGAAAAAGGUCACCAACGAUCUCUGGCGAGAUGAGGAAGGUAAAACCACUUGAGGUCUUUGGUGGGACUUAUUCGGAUGGUUUUCCCCUUAUGCAUCUGCCAUCCUCCCUAUUAUUGUGGUUCUCAUCUUUAUCUUUCUAUUAGGCCCCUGUAUUUGUGCCUGUAUUUGUCUUCAGGUAUUGUUUCCGAACUUUUGCCUACAAGCCAUUUAGUUCACCGGACAUGACAGCCGCACCAUCAAAUGUUUGGCCGACAAGUUUGAAGCCACAUUCCAUCCCCGCUAUGGCAGCAAAAAUAUGUCCUGCUAAAGCAGUGGCUGAUCGGUCAGUGCUCAGAUCAGAAAACCUCACAAAUCGUCAGAGUUACGCAUGUAACCCUGUUCCCUGAAAAGGGAACGAGACGAUGCAUUUAGCAUAACAGUAUGGGAAUGCCUUGCGCGCGUGACCGGUAUCUGAAGCUUGUGUAAAAU